GUGAAAUACCGGGCACUGGUGUACGGUUGACAGCGUUUUAAGCGUGCUAGGCUAGUGUACAUCCAGUAUUAGCUCAGUCGGAGAGUAGUUUAAAACACCAGUACUGCACUCAGAGAGAUACAGAUUUUAUUCAUUUUACCUUUGAGACUCAAAUAAAACUCAGGGUUUGCGUGGGAGAUGAAAUAUAAUAUACCUAUAAUAUCACACGUGAAAAUUAUAUAUACAAUUUAUCUUCGAUGGAAUUUUAAUCAUUAAUUUAAUUCGCAGGUAUUUUACAUAUAAUAUUUUAGCCUAUAGAAAUAGGUAACAUUUCGAUGAGAAAGAUUUAUUUUUAUUUUUUAUUCGAUGAAUUUUAAGAGAAGUCGAAGACAUACAAAUCAUACAACUGAAGCUGUAGGUAGAUAGCUGCUUUGGAUGCUGUGCCACCGAGUAUAUAAACACUCGGCGACACAGCUAAUCUGCGAGUAGCAGAAAUAGCGUAGUUUAGCCGAUCGAGUCGGAGCACCGGGCGUUACCACUUCAUUGCCCCGUCGAAACACAGUGUGGCAACACUGCGAAUCGACAAGCACAACUUCGUGGUAGCCCGGUGCCCCUCGGACGAAGCCCAAAAAAUUCCAGCACGCUGGCUUUUUUCGGCUUCGUUCGACUGGCUGCACUGUCGCUGAUCAAAAUAUUUACUUUUGACAAAAUGGCUUGUUUCUGUGUUUCGACUUCUCUUUACAUUAAAAAAUGGUUUAAAACGAACUAAUUAAAACCUUAAAACUAAUUUAAAAACGUGAUUAAAACGUAACAAUAUAAAUAGUUUAAAACUUUCAAACGGUUAAAACAACACCGUAGUGUUUUUAUAUACUUUUAUCGGGAGAAGCCCGUUACUUUAUGAUCGAUCACCGAUCUUCAUUUACAUUUCAAAGGAAAAAGAACAACAAUAUAAGAUUUCGAAGAUCGAACGAAGAAUACAACAAUCGGCCGCCAUGUUUUUGCUCGGUGAUUCACCGGUACUUAAUUUCAACACCAUUUCCAAAUUUGGAUUUUAUUUCGAUGUAAGUAUUUUUGAUGAGCGUAUGAAUAAAUUAAAUUUCGAAGAAAUUUCGUUGUUACUUUUAUUUUAUAAUUUUGUUCGUAGAUAUGAAGAUCCAAAUUUGUGACUAGAAUAUCGAUUAGUUUGCCCCGAGGCAUUUUGUAUUUAUUCGGUGAUAGCGAAUUACCCAUGACAGGUGAGUUCCGUUUUUGAAACCUGAUUUGUCUUCGAAUUAUUAAUUUUUUUCUGCCCUUCGUAGGCUGUUUCGAUACAUUUCCACGAUGAUACCGUUCGGUUCGAGAUGAUUUGUUUAAAACGUUCGCCAAAUUUGGAUGAUAGAAAAAGAGUGGCCAUGUUGCCAGCAUAAUCGUUCGAUGCUUUUACUACUUGGAUUCAUCAAUACGAAAUAGGUAAUUUGUUUUCCUAUAAUUUUGAUUUUAUUCGACGAGUUUAAUUUUGGAUUUUUCGUAGUACGAGAACUUUUUGCGCUGAAGGCGCUUUUGGAAAAACUAUCCGAACAGAUGAAAUACGACUUUACACGAUAAUUUUAUUUUGAUUUACCGAGCUAGUAUGUUGGAAGCUGGAUACUUCGAUGACAGGUGUUUUAUCGCAUGGACUUGCUCGUUCGUUGACCGGUGUUGAUUGUUAUUCUUUGUCGUUGGUGUUUUUGGAAACGGUUUCUUCGGCUUUGCUGUUCGGUAUCUUCGAUGAUCUUCGGUGGUACGUAUCUGUGAAAUUUUAAAUUCGGAUUACUUUU